rnacentral:rRNA from 2 species
UUAAGCGACUAAGCGUACACGGUGGAUGCCCUGGCAGUCAGAGGCGAUGAAGGACGUGCUAAUCUGCGAUAAGCGUCGGUGAGGUGAUAUGAACCGUUAUAACCGGCGAUUUCCGAAUGGGGAAACCCAGUGUGUUUCGACACACUAUCAUUAACUGAAUCCAUAGGUUAAUGAGGCGAACCGGGGGAACUGAAACAUCUAAGUACCCCGAGGAAAAGAAAUCAACCGAGAUUCCCCCAGUAGCGGCGAGCGAACGGGGAGGAGCCCAGAGCCUGAAUCAGUGUGUGUGUUAGUGGAAGCGUCUGGAAAGGCGUGCGAUACAGGGUGACAGCCCCGUACACAAAAAUGCACAUAUUGUGAGCUCGAUGAGUAGGGCGGGACACGUGGUAUCCUGUCUGAAUAUGGGGGGACCAUCCUCCAAGGCUAAAUACUCCUGACUGACCGAUAGUGAACCAGUACCGUGAGGGAAAGGCGAAAAGAACCCCGGCGAGGGGAGUGAAAAAGAACCUGAAACCGUGUACGUACAAGCAGUGGGAGCCUCUUAAUGGGGUGACUGCGUACCUUUUGUAUAAUGGGUCAGCGACUUAUAUUCUGUAGCAAGGUUAACCGAAUAGGGGAGCCGAAGGGAAACCGAGUCUUAACUGGGCGUUAAGUUGCAGGGUAUAGACCCGAAACCCGGUGAUCUAGCCAUGGGCAGGUUGAAGGUUGGGUAACACUAACUGGAGGACCGAACCGACUAAUGUUGAAAAAUUAGCGGAUGACUUGUGGCUGGGGGUGAAAGGCCAAUCAAACCGGGAGAUAGCUGGUUCUCCCCGAAAGCUAUUUAGGUAGCGCCUCGUGAAUUCAUCUCCGGGGGUAGAGCACUGUUUCGGCAAGGGGGUCAUCCCGACUUACCAACCCGAUGCAAACUGCGAAUACCGGAGAAUGUUAUCACGGGAGACACACGGCGGGUGCUAACGUCCGUCGUGAAGAGGGAAACAACCCAGACCGCCAGCUAAGGUCCCAAAGUCAUGGUUAAGUGGGAAACGAUGUGGGAAGGCCCAGACAGCCAGGAUGUUGGCUUAGAAGCAGCCAUCAUUUAAAGAAAGCGUAAUAGCUCACUGGUCGAGUCGGCCUGCGCGGAAGAUGUAACGGGGCUAAACCAUGCACCGAAGCUGCGGCAGCGACACUAUGUGUUGUUGGGUAGGGGAGCGUUCUGUAAGCCUGUGAAGGUGGCCUGUGAGGGGUGCUGGAGGUAUCAGAAGUGCGAAUGCUGACAUAAGUAACGAUAAAGCGGGUGAAAAGCCCGCUCGCCGGAAGACCAAGGGUUCCUGUCCAACGUUAAUCGGGGCAGGGUGAGUCGACCCCUAAGGCGAGGCCGAAAGGCGUAGUCGAUGGGAAACAGGUUAAUAUUCCUGUACUUGGUGUUACUGCGAAGGGGGGACGGAGAAGGCUAUGUUGGCCGGGCGACGGUUGUCCCGGUUUAAGCGUGUAGGCUGGUUUUCCAGGCAAAUCCGGAAAACCAAGGCUGAGGCGUGAUGACGAGGCACUACGGUGCUGAAGCGACAAAUGCCCUGCUUCCAGGAAAAGCCUCUAAGCAUCAGGUAACAUCAAAUCGUACCCCAAACCGACACAGGUGGUCAGGUAGAGAAUACCAAGGCGCUUGAGAGAACUCGGGUGAAGGAACUAGGCAAAAUGGUGCCGUAACUUCGGGAGAAGGCACGCUGAUAUGUAGGUGAAGCGACUUGCUCGUGGAGCUGAAAUCAGUCGAAGAUACCAGCUGGCUGCAACUGUUUAUUAAAAACACAGCACUGUGCAAACACGAAAGUGGACGUAUACGGUGUGACGCCUGCCCGGUGCCGGAAGGUUAAUUGAUGGGGUUAGCGGUAACGCGAAGCUCUUGAUCGAAGCCCCGGUAAACGGCGGCCGUAACUAUAACGGUCCUAAGGUAGCGAAAUUCCUUGUCGGGUAAGUUCCGACCUGCACGAAUGGCGUAAUGAUGGCCAGGCUGUCUCCACCCGAGACUCAGUGAAAUUGAACUCGCUGUGAAGAUGCAGUGUACCCGCGGCAAGACGGAAAGACCCCGUGAACCUUUACUAUAGCUUGACACUGAACAUUGAGCCUUGAUGUGUAGGAUAGGUGGGAGGCUUUGAAGUGUGGACGCCAGUCUGCAUGGAGCCGACCUUGAAAUACCACCCUUUAAUGUUUGAUGUUCUAACGUUGGCCCGUAAUCCGGGUUGCGGACAGUGUCUGGUGGGUAGUUUGACUGGGGCGGUCUCCUCCUAAAGAGUAACGGAGGAGCACGAAGGUUGGCUAAUCCUGGUCGGACAUCAGGAGGUUAGUGCAAUGGCAUAAGCCAGCUUGACUGCGAGCGUGACGGCGCGAGCAGGUGCGAAAGCAGGUCAUAGUGAUCCGGUGGUUCUGAAUGGAAGGGCCAUCGCUCAACGGAUAAAAGGUACUCCGGGGAUAACAGGCUGAUACCGCCCAAGAGUUCAUAUCGACGGCGGUGUUUGGCACCUCGAUGUCGGCUCAUCACAUCCUGGGGCUGAAGUAGGUCCCAAGGGUAUGGCUGUUCGCCAUUUAAAGUGGUACGCGAGCUGGGUUUAGAACGUCGUGAGACAGUUCGGUCCCUAUCUGCCGUGGGCGCUGGAGAACUGAGGGGGGCUGCUCCUAGUACGAGAGGACCGGAGUGGACGCAUCACUGGUGUUCGGGUUGUCAUGCCAAUGGCACUGCCCGGUAGCUAAAUGCGGAAGAGAUAAGUGCUGAAAGCAUCUAAGCACGAAACUUGCCCCGAGAUGAGUUCUCCCUGACUCCUUGAGAGUCCUGAAGGAACGUUGAAGACGACGACGUUGAUAGGCCGGGUGUGUAAGCGCAGCGAUGCGUUGAGCUAACCGGUACUAAUGAACCGUGAGGCUUAACCUU